GAUCAUGGCUCAGAUUGAACGCUGGCGGCAGGCCUAACACAUGCAAGUCGAACGGUAACAGGAAGCAGCUUGCUGCUUUGCUGACGAGUGGCGGACGGGUGAGUAAUGUCUGGGAAACUGCCUGAUGGAGGGGGAUAACUACUGGAAACGGUAGCUAAUACCGCAUAACGUCGCAAGACCAAAGGAGGGGGACCUUAGGGCCUCUUGCCAUCGGAUGUCGCCCAGAUGGGAUUAGCUAGG
rnacentral:rRNA from 1 species